rnacentral:misc_RNA from 1 species
GGCUCCGAAGGAAAUCAUUUGGGUCACGUUAAAGCAUAAUGGAUGUCUGCCUUUGCCUCGCGGCAUAGGCACUGUCCAAUAAAAUGGCUCCACAACUCACAUGUUCAUUGGUCCACGUAUCACUUAAUCCCGGCUCGGCGACCUCACAGACGUGUAUUAUAAAAUGAGAAAUAACAGGUAUGCUCCAUCCCUCAGAAAAUUUUAAUUUUUUU